UAGUUUAUUGAGCCAAGUGUUAGCCCAGAGUAGAUCAGAGCAACCGCCGAAAUGCUAAAUGGUCUCGGGAAUGAUGGCAUUCCGGGAAGAAUUAUUGUGGCAGGAUGGGUAACUCAGUGUCUAGGGCCCCAUGCUACCUCCAUCACUGUCAGAAGAAAUAAUGGCCAAAUUUCCUCCUGAGCCUCAUGGCCCAUUGGACUAAUCUAUAGGGGCCAGCCUGUCCAGCACUUACAGUACCUUCAGCUCCACCAGCCCGGAGGAUCCUUUACAGUCCCUUCCUGUGAACAGAUUAUUCUCAGCAGGAGAAUCCAUGAUCCUGCCUCUCCUGCUACACAGUGAUUGGAAAUUCCCUUCUCAUGGUGAAGCAGCGAGUGUUACUGGGCCACAACCCCUGUAGGGAAAAUGUGAAACUUGUGUCCCAGCUCCUGGUAAUGACACAAUUAACUCUGGCUGGGAAAGGCUUGAAAAACACUUUACUCUUUCUGAAAAAAACAUCUCUAAGCCUUGUAAAAAAAAAUGGCCUUGAAAAUCUUCUUUAUAGAGAGACCAUAUUUUAUUACCAGACAGAGUUAACAGCAAGGAUAGUUUACUACAUCAACAUAAAAGUUAAAUGUCCAAUUACUGUCUCUGGAAACAAUGUUAGGGAGAGAGGAAGCAGCAGAAGGCUCCACCAGCAUCUGCCUGCAACCUUAACACCAUCCUGCCCACCAGAUCCAGAUUUCUUUCAUGCAGUGUCCAAACCAAGGGUUUAUUCUAGGAACACUCUCCCUGCAGAGGGAAGUUGCAAGAAGCCACCCCUCCUUUCCUUACAGUCCAUUAUUUAUGUCCCUAUCUUUUCAGGAGAGUUGUAGAGUGAAAAUAGAGUGCUGAAUGGCAUCCUGGGGAUUUUACAGCAGCUUGUGACGUUUCAGUGCAGGUCUCCAGAAUCCCCUUAUUUUAUGCUAAUACAGGGUCUCUGUAGAGGGCUGUGGCUCUGGCCACCCAGCAUUUGUGAGGCUCCAAAUGCAGUGCUUGCAAGCUUAUCUGAAAACAGAGCUCUGCUGAGAAGAGGGACUCUGUAAUCCUUAUUCUCCAGCCUCUGCUUCCAUCUCUUCUCUGUCAGUUGAUAAACUUCCAUUGCACCAGUCUCCCAGUUACUGAGUAUAUGAGUUCUUCAGCAUCCCACAGCAGUUUCUCUUUUGGAUGCUCUGUUUCUCAGCAGAAUGACUCGCAACAUGCUCUCUUAAGUGAUUUCAUAACAACCUGCAGAAAAAUCCUGUACUUUUUUCCUGAUUACAACCCCCACCUCCCCAUAACUAAUGCACUAUUUCUGACACCCACAACCUGAAUUACCCUAGUGCACUCCCACAGAGACUGCAUCAGAUGUAUUAAUGAUGCCUCCAACUGAUUCAGCCCCUGGCACAGAACCAUCUUCCCCACUGUCAGGUUAUAAGGAACAGAGGUUUCCCUCACAUUGGACCAGCUGCCAGCAUCAGCCUGGUCUGAACUUUAAGCUCACAGCCCCUUUCUGGUGUGCAUGUGCUACCCAGGAGUACCUGCCUUGAGAAGUUUCCACUUGAAAUACACCAGGAUCAGGCAUGGUUGUACACUAGAAGGAGUGCACUACCAUGUACAUAUUCAUAUAAAAAUCCCAGAUAACCAACUGACAGGACAAACUCAACUGAGCUUUGUGCUUAAUGAUGUUUCCAAGGAGUGCUGCUGCUGCUGCUUGCAGAACUGGGGGUGCCAAUGGGGCGUGUAAUUGAGGGCUCUACUUGGUGUGCCUUGGUGAGUUAUUCCAGGGAACUGAAGGAGAAGGAAGAAGGCCAGAAGAAAUCAAACGUGACCACACUUUUUCCACAUAUGACCAUAACUGUUAAUGUUACUUGAGUGAUAGCACAGGGCCUGAUGCCUUCUGCUGCUACUCUGUAUUAACAACCAAAGAGGAACUUUGAGGUGACUUAUCCUUGAGCCUUGUCUUGGUAUCCCUCAUAUCACCAGGUAAGGGUAUCCUUCCCUUCGUUCCCCUUUUUUUUUCCUUCGUAUAAGCAGAGAAAUUGCCUUUUUCCACCCUGUUUUAAUUACAGGAGCCAUGUGGCCCCUCCUGGAGCAGCUGCCAGAGACAGUACUAGUGCAAGAUCACCAGGCCAGCAGACUGACAGAAAAUAUAUCUUGGGAAGUGUGGCAGGUGAGGAUGGAGAAUCUGCAGAAAGGCCCAUGUGGAAGUGCCCAUUAGAAUAAUCUGACAGCUGUGCUGGAGAUCCACUGGGACCAAAGAAGACCAUCUACUGCAUUCCUGAGGUUUCUUUCAGGUGAUGCAUCUUUUAUUUCCAAAAGGUUACAAGCACACAGAGUGGGUGGCUUUGCCCAGCAGCUCAGGCCAAUCCAGCUUGACAAUGGCAAUGGAAAUCUGGUUUGGUUUUGAGCCUGGCUUUGAUUUGGGACACUGGAAACCAUGAGAGUGCCAAGAAAAUGAUGUUGCUGACUGCGUUGGAUGACAGCAAAUCUCAUACAUCCUGACCAUGGAAGUGCCUCCCUUACAGCACCUGCAGGCUUAAACAGAGAGAGUCCAGCAUUUCCAUCUGAGCCCUACUUAAAGCUGCAGCUCUGUCAGUGUGGUGUACAAACAUGACACAGGCUACCAACUGCUAAUGGUCCAAGAUUUCCAUAUGAGGGCAAACAUUCCCAGGCUCCACUGGCAAAAGCAAUGUAUUCAGAGCCAAGACACCAGGCUUGUCCCUGACCUGUCCCAGGAAAUCACCUGAAUCAUGUCAGUGUUUUCGUCUCCAUCUCUUCAUCUGAAGAUGGAAAUAAUGUGUCCACAUAGGAAUGUCAUGAAUCUGAGGUCUAUAUCCCUUGCCAUCUAGAAAAACCAUCUUGUGUAUCAUGAAGCUUUAAUGCCUCCUUUUUUAUUGAGUUUAUCCUGCCCGUGCCCUGUAUUUCUUAAUUUGCCUUUUUUGUUGUUUUGCUAUUAUUUAUUUCUCUAGUUACAUAUCUUUUGAAGCAAAAGA